rnacentral:rRNA from 1 species
GUCUAUGGGCAUGCCACCCUGAACAAGCCCAAUCCUGUCUGAUCUCGGAAGCUAAGCAGGGUCGGGCCUAGAUGGGAGACCGCCUAGGAAGACCAGGUGCUGUAGGUG